rnacentral:rRNA from 1 species
CCGGUUGAUCCUGCCGGAGGUUACUGCUAUCGAGAUCCGACUAAGCCAUGCGAGUUGAAUGUUCUUCGUGAACAUGGCGGACUGCUCAGUAACACGUGGACAACCUACCCUUGGGACCAGUAUAAUCCUGGGAAACUGGGCAUAAUGCUGGAUAGGUCACAAUUGCUGGAAUGCAUUGUGACUCAAAGCUCCGGCGCCCAAGGAUGGGUCUGCGGCCUAUCAGGGUAGUAGUGGGUGUAAUGUACCUACUAGCCUACGACGGGUACGGGUUGUGAGAGCAAGAGCCCGGAGAUGGAUUCUGAGACACGAAUCCAGGCCCUACGGGGUGCAGCAGGCGCGAAAACUUUACAAUGCGGGAAACCGUGAUAAGGGGAUCUCGAGUGCCAGCAUAUAAUGUUGGCUGUCCAGAUGCUUAAAAAGCAUUUGUUAGCAAGGGCCGGGCAAGACCGGUGCCAGCCGCCGCGGUAACACCGGCGGCCCGAGUGGUAACCGUUAUUAUUGGGUCUAAAGGGUCUGUAGCCGGCCAAGUAAGUCCUUUGGGAAAUCUGGUAGCUCAACUAUCAGGCUGCCAGGGGAUACUGCUUGGCUUGGGACCGGGAGAGGUGAGAGGUACCUCAGGGGUAGGGGUGAAAUCUUGUGAUCCUUGAGGGACCACCAGUGGCGAAGGCGUCUCACCAGAACGGGUCCGACGGUAAGGGACGAAAGCUAGGGGCACGAACCGGAUUAGAUACCCGGGUAGUCCUAGCCGUAAACGAUGCUCGCUAGGUGUCAGUCACGGUGCGACCGUGAUUGGUGCCGUAGGGAAGCCGUGAAGCGAGCCACCUGGGAAGUAUGGCCGCAAGGCUGAAACUUAAAGGAAUUGGCGGGGGAGCACUACAACGGGUGGAGCCUGCGGUUCAAUUGGAUUCAACGCCGGAAAUCUCUA